rnacentral:rRNA from 1 species
GACGAACGCUGGCGGCGUGCCUAAUACACGCAAGUCGAGCGGACUAAUGGGAGCUUGCUCCCAUUAGUUAGCGGCGGACGGGUGAGUAACACGUGGGCAACCUACCUGUAAGACUGGGAUAACUUCGGGAAACCGGAGCUAAUACCGGAUGACAUAACGGAACUCCUGUUCCUUUAUUGAAAGAUGGCUUCGGCUAUCACUUACAGAUGGGCCCGGGGCGCAUUAGCUAGUUGGUGAGGUAACGGCUCACCAAGGCGACGAUGCGUAGCCGACCUGAGAGGGUGAUCGGCCACACUGGGACUGAGACACGGCCCAGACUCCUACGGGAGGCAGCAGUAGGGAAUCUUCCGCAAUGGACGAAAGUCUGACGGAGCAACGCCGCGUGAGCGAUGAAGGCCUUCGGGUCGUAAAGCUCUGUUGUUAGGGAAGAAUAAGUGCUAGUUGAAUAAGUUGGCACCUUGACGGUACCUAACCAGAGAGCCACGGCUAACUACGUGCCAGCCGCCGCCGUAACAC